GCGAAGGUGGCGGAAUUGGUAGACGCGCUAGCUUCAGGUGUUAGUGUCCUUACGGUUCAGGUGUUAGUGUCCUUACGGACGUGGGGGUUCAAGUCCCCCCCCUCGCACCA
rnacentral:tRNA from 1 species